AGGGCGGAUGCCUUGGCACUAGGAGCCGAUGAAGGACGUGAUAAGCUGCGAUAAGCUUCGGGGAGUUGCACGUAAACUUUGAUCCGAAGAUUUCCGAAUGAGGAAACUCACUUAGAGUAAUGUCUAAGUAUCAUUAAGUGAAUACAUAGCUUAAUGAGGGGAACUCAGGGAACUGAAACAUCUAAGUACCUGAAGGAAGAGAAAGAAAUUCGAUUCCGUAAGUAGCGGCGAGCGAACGCGGAUUAGCCCAAACCAAUAAAGUUUUCUUUAUUGGGGUUGCGGACAUAUCAUAACGAAGAGGUAUCGUAAUUGAAGAGGUUUGGAAAGACCCACCACAGAAGGUAAUAGUCCUGUAUGUUAAACGAGAAGACUUUAGAUAUGAUCCAGAGUACCACGGGACACGUGAAACCCUGUGGGAAGCAGGAGGGACCACCCUCCAAGGCUAAAUACUACCUAGUGACCGAUAGCGUAUAGUACCGUGAGGGAAAGGUGAAAAGAACCCCGGGAGGGGAGUGAAAUAGAACCUGAAACCCUGCACUUACAAGCUGUGGAAGCACAUUUCUUGUGUGACCGCGUACUUUUUGUAGAACGGGCCAACGAGUUACGUUAAGUAGCAAGGUUAAGCACUUAAGGUGCGGAGCCGUAGCGAAAGCGAGUUUUAACUGAGCGUUCAGUUACUUGACGUAGACCCGAAACCGGGCGACCUACCCAUGAGCAGGAUGAAGCGAAAGUAAAAUUUCGUGGAGGUCCGAACCCACGAGCGUUGAAAAGCUCGGGGAUGACUUGUGGGUAGCGGUGAAAUUCCAAUCGAGCCCGGAGAUAGCUGGUUCUCCCCGAAAUAGCUUUAGGGCUAGCCUCAAGGUGAGAGAUACGGAGGUAGAGCACUGAAUGUCCUAGGGGGUAUUGCACCUACCGAAGACUAUCAAACUCCGAAUGCCGUCAUCUUAUACUUGGGAGUCAGACUGUGGGUGAUAAGAUUCAUAGUCGAAAGGGCAACAGCCCAGAUCGUCAGCUAAGGUCCCUAAAUGUAAGUUAAGUGGUAAAGGAUGUGGGAUUGCACAGACAACCAGGAUGUUGGCUUAGAAGCAGCCACUCAUUCAAAGAGUGCGUAAUAGCUCACUGGUCGAGUGAUCCUGCGCCGAAGAUUUCCGGGGCUAAAACUUACUACCGAAGCUACGGCAUCAGUAAUGAUGGGUAGGGGAGCUUCCCAUACGGGUUGAAGCAUGACCGUAAGGACAUGUGGACAGUAUGGGAGUGAGAAUGUUGGCAUGAGUAGCGAGAUGUGGGUGAGAAUCCCACAGGCCGUAAACCCAAGGUUUCCAGGGGAAGGUUCGUCCGCCCUGGGUUAGUCGGGACCUAAGCUGAGGCCGAAAGGCGUAGGUGAUGGACAACAGGUUGAUAUUCCUGUACUACCGAUAACCGUUUGAGAGA
rnacentral:rRNA from 1 species